UCAGGUCCAUCGUACAUGAUAUCAUCUAAACAGAACAAAAGACAAGAGAAAUAGCUCUUUAUGGAGACAUAGGUUACUGAAUGGUGGCCAAACCACUGCGACACUCAGAUGCUAUAUCUGCAUACCCACUUAAAAGCUAAAAUUGAAUGCACGGGCACUUUGUUUAAAAACAACCAACCAAAG